rnacentral:rRNA from 1 species
GAUGAACGCUGGCGGUAUGCCUAACACAUGCAAGUCGUACGAGAGUUUUUAACUCUAGUGGCGGACGGGUGAGUAACACGUGAGAAUUUGCCUUUAGGAGGGGGACAACAAUUGGAAACGAAUGCUAAUACCCCAUAUGCUUUCGAGUGAAAUGGAUUUUAUCCGCCUAGAGAGAAGCUCGCGGCUGAUUAGCUUGUUGGUAAGGUAAGAGCUUACCAAGGCGACGAUCAGUAUCUGGUUUGAGAGGACGAUCAGACACACUGGAACUGAGACACGGCCCAGACUCCUACGGGAGGCAGCAGUGAGGAAUUUUCCACAAUGGGCGAAAGCCUGAUGGAGCAAUGCCGCGUGGAGGAAGAAGGCCCGUGGGUUGUAAACUCCUUUUCUCAGAGAAGAAGAUCUGACGGUAUCUGAGGAAUAAGCGCCGGCUAACCCUGUG